UCUAGGAGGGUUCCUUUAUUUGGACCGACGGCUCAGUUGUGGAUUUCACCGACUGGGCAAACAACCGUCCUAACAACAAUGGAAACCAGAACUGUGUAAACAUCAACUUCAGAGGAGAUGAUCAGUGGAAUGAUAUCCCAUGCAUUAGGUCAAGAACUUAUGUCUGUGCCAUGGAUCUGAAACCUCACCAUUAAGAUCCCCCCUGAUAUCUUCUAGUGUUUUCCACUGUCUGUGUUAGAUCGCUAAAACAACUUCUUUAGGCUAAUUGCUCUUUGCUUACAUUAUUUCAAGCAUGUUUCAGUGAUUAGUUUACAAAGAUUGGUCUAAGAUCCCCUUUAGCUGAUCCCACAGAUUCUACUUAUUUACUAGACAUGUCAAUGUUAGUUCCAUUCUUGCAUGCAUUCUUUCUUUCCUUCUAUCCAUUAUGUUUAAAGCAGCUAAUAUUUUCCCCAUGUGUACACUCUGUUCUUGUAUCCUAUGUCCGCAAGUAAACUCUUGUGCUUUACCUUGAA